rnacentral:sRNA from 2 species
UCGUAGCCCUGAUGGAAGUGGCAUCCUUUUUUUGGCUACGAAAGCGAUUAGCUGAAGUAGCCAAAAAAAGAUACAACGAACAGCAGGACGAUGU